AUACGUAGGUGACAAGCGUUAUCCGGAUUUACUGGGCGUAAAGGGCGUGUAGGCGGCCGAUUAAGUCUGGAGUGAAAGUCCUGCAUUCAAUGUGGGAAUUGCUUUGGAGACUGGUUGGCUUGAGUGCGGAAGAGGUAAGUGGAAUUCCUAGUGGAGCGGUAAAAUGCGCAGAUAUUAGGAAGAACACCGGUGGCGAAGGCGGCUAUCUGGACAGUAACUGACGCUGAGGCGCGAAAGCGUGGGGAGCAAACAGGAUUAGAUACCCUGGUAGUCCACACUGUAAACGAUGAAUGCUAGGUGUAGGGGGUAUCGACCCCUUCUGUGCCGCAGUCAACACAAUAAGCAUUCCGCCUGGGGAGUACGGCCGCAAGGUUGAAACUCAAAUGAAUUGACGGGG
rnacentral:rRNA from 1 species